rnacentral:rRNA from 1 species
UACAGAGGUCUCAAGCGUUGUUCGGAUUCAUUGGGCGUAAAGGGUGCGUAGGCGGCGCGGUAAGUCGGGUGUGAAAUCUUGGAGCUUAACUCCGAAACUGCAUUCGAUACUGCCGUGCUUGAGGACUGGAGAGGAGACUGGAAUUUACGGUGUAGCGGUGAAAUGCGUAGAUAUCAGGAGGAACACCGGUGGCGAAGGCGGGUCUCUGGGACGGUACUGACGCUGAGACGCGAAAGCGUGGGGAGCGAACAGG